rnacentral:rRNA from 1 species
GUGGUUAAGUUACUAAGGGCACACGGUGGAUGCCUUGGCGCUAGGAGCCGAAGAAGGACGCAGCGAACUGCGAUAAGCCUCGGGGAGCGGUAAGCACGCUUUGAUCCGGGGAUCUCCGAAUGGGGAAACCCACCAUCUGUAAUGGGAUGGUAUCCGUAUCUGAAUACAUAGGGUACGAGAAGGCAGACCCGGUGAACUGAAACAUCUAAGUAGCCGGAGGAAGAGAAAACAAUAGUGAUUCCGUCAGUAGUGGCGAGCGAACGCGGAAGAGCCUAAACCGUCGGGUUUACCCGGCGGGGUUGUGGGGCGUCUCACAUGGAGUUACAAAAGACGCGCGUAGGUGAACAGCUUGGGAAAGCUGACCAUAGAGCGUGAUAGUCGCGUAACCUAAACGCGCGUCUCUCCGAGACCAACCCCGAGUAGCGCGGGACACGUGAAAUCCCGUGUGAAUCUGGCAGGACCAUCUGCUAAGGCUAAAUACUACCUAGCGACCGAUAGUGAACCAGUACCGUGAGGGAAAGGUGAAAAGCACCCCGGGAGGGGAGUGAAAUAGUACCUGAAACCGUGUGCUUACAAAUAGUCGGAGCCCGUUAAAAGGGUGACGGCGUGCCUUUUGUAGAAUGAACCGGCGAGUUACGGUAGCGUGCGAGGUUAAGUUGAAGAGACGGAGCCGCAGCGAAAGCGAGUCUGAAUAGGGCGAUAGUACGCUGCCGUAGACCCGAAACCGUGUGAUCUAGCCAUGUCCAGGGUGAAGGUAGGGUAACACCUACUGGAGGCCCGAACCCACGCACGUUGAAAAGUGCGGGGAUGAGGUGUGGCUAGCGGUGAAAUUCCAAUCGAACUCGGAGAUAGCUGGUUCUCCCCGAAAUAGCUUUAGGGCUAGCCUCGGAAUUUAGAGUCUUGGAGGUAGAGCACUGAUUGGACUAGGGGCCCUCAUCGGGU